UACAGAGGUCUCGAGCGUUGUUCGGAUUCAUUGGGCGUAAAGGGCGCGUAGGCGGCGGGGUAAGUCUGGUGUGAAAACUCAGGGCUUAACCCUGAGCUCGCAUCGGGUACGGGCAGACUAGAGUGCGGUAGGGGAGACUGGAAUUCCUGGUGUAGCGGUGAAAUGCGCAGAUAUCAGGAAGAACACCCGUGGCGAAGGCGGGAUCCUGGGCCAGUACUGACGCUGAGGAGCGAAAGCGUGGGGAGCAAACAGG
rnacentral:rRNA from 1 species